AAGUAGACGAUGGGAAGUUAUUGUGAAGAAUGGUAAUGAACGGGGGAAUUAUGAUGCAUUGAAUAUUGGGAUUGGAGGAGGAGACUAUGGAGUUUGAAUUUGUGUGAAGAAGUAUAGGGAGAAUGACAGUUGGAUGUGAAGGGUUCCAGUGAUUGGAUUAUGGAGUGAUUGUGUGCUGUCUUUUGGGAUGGUGUGGUAUUACUUGAGAUUGUUGUCACACGUUUGGAAAAGAGGAGAGACAGUGAAGCCAUGAGAUAGGAUCAUCGAUUGUGAUAUUUUAUUGGUUGGAAGAGUACACUGUUACGGAGCAUAACAAGACG
rnacentral:lncRNA from 1 species